rnacentral:rRNA from 1 species
AACGAACGCUGGCGGCAGGCUUAACACAUGCAAGUCGCAGGGGAAGCCUCUCUUCGGGGAGGUGGAGACUAGCGCACGGGUGAGUAACGCGUGGGAAUUUGCCCUGGGGUGGGGGAUAACCGCUGGAAACGGCGGCUAAUACCGCAUACGCCCCUGGACUUUAUGUCUUGGGGGAAAGCUUUCGAGUGCCCUGGGAGGAGCCCGCGUCCGAUUAGCUUGUUGGUGGGGUAAAGGCCCACCAAGGCUGCGAUCGGUAGCUGGUCUGAGAGGAUGAUCAGCCACACUGGGACUGAGACACGGCCCAGACUCCUACGGGAGGCAGCAGUGGGGAAUAUUGGACAAUGGGCGCAAGCCUGAUCCAGCCAUGCCGCGUGAGUGAAGAAGGCCUUAGGGUUGUAAAGCUCUUUCACCCGUGAAGAUGAUGACGGUAGCGGGAGAAGAAGCCCCGGCUAACUCCGUG